rnacentral:rRNA from 1 species
ACGAACGCUGGCGGCGUGCCUAAUACAUGCAAGUAGAACGCUGAAGAGAGGAGCUUGCUCUUCUUGGAUGAGUUGCGAACGGGUGAGUAACGCGUAGGUAACCUGCCUUGUAGCGGGGGAUAACUAUUGGAAACGAUAGCUAAUACCGCAUAACAAUGGAUGACACAUGUCAUUUAUUUGAAAGGGGCAAAUGCUCCACUACAAGAUGGACCUGCGUUGUAUUAGCUAGUAGGUGAGGUAACGGCUCACCUAGGCGACGAUACAUAGCCGACCUGAGAGGGUGAUCGGCCACACUGGGACUGAGACACGGCCCAGACUCCUACGGGAGGCAGCAGUAGGGAAUCUUCGGCAAUGGGGGCAACCCUGACCGAGCAACGCCGCGUGAGUGAAGAAGGUUUUCGGAUCGUAAAGCUCUGUUGUAAGUCAAGAACGAGUGUGAGAGUGGAAAGUUCACACUGUGACGGUAGCUUACCAGAAAGGGACGGCUAACUACGUGCCAGCAGCCGCGGUAAUACGUAGGUCCCGAGCGUUGUCCGGAUUUAUUGGGCGUAAAGCGAGCGCAGGCGGUUUGAUAAGUCUGAAGUUAAAGGCUGUGGCUCAACCAUAGUUCGCUUUGGAAACUGUCAAACUUGAGUGCAGAAGGGGAGAGUGGAAUUCCAUGUGUAGCGGUGAAAUGCGUAGAUAUAUGGAGGAACACCGGUGGCGAAAGCGGCUCUCUGGUCUGUAACUGACGCUGAGGCUCGAAAGCGUGGGGAGCGAACAGGAUUAGAUACCCUGGUAGUCCACGCCGUAAACGAUGAGUGCUAGGUGUUGGAUCCUUUCCGGGAUUCAGUGCCGCAGCUAACGCAUUAAGCACUCCGCCUGGGGAGUACGACCGCAAGGUUGAAACUCAAAGGAAUUGACGGGGGCCCGCACAAGCGGUGGAGCAUGUGGUUUAAUUCGAAGCAACGCGAAGAACCUUACCAGGUCUUGACAUCCCGAUGCUAUUUCUAGAGAUAGAAAGUUACUUCGGUACAUCGGUGACAGGUGGUGCAUGGUUGUCGUCAGCUCGUGUCGUGAGAUGUUGGGUUAAGUCCCGCAACGAGCGCAACCCCUAUUGUUAGUUGCCAUCAUUCAGUUGGGCACUCUAGCGAGACUGCCGGUAAUAAACCGGAGGAAGGUGGGGAUGACGCCAAAUCAUCAUGCCCCUUAUGACCUGGGCUACACACGUGCUACAAUGGUUGGUACAACGAGUUGCGAGUCGGUGACGGCAAGCUAAUCUCUUAAAGCCAAUCUCAGUUCGGAUUGUAGGCUGCAACUCGCCUACAUGAAGUCGGAAUCGCUAGUAAUCGCGGAUCAGCACGCCGCGGUGAAUACGUUCCCGGGCCUUGUACACACCGCCCGUCACACCACGAGAGUUUGUAACACCCGAAGUCGGUGAGGUAACCUUUUGGAGCCAGCCGCCUAAGGUGGGA